UUCAGGGUGUGUGACUGGUUGACCAGAGGGGCAUGCACUCUGUUUACCCUGUGGGCCACCUAGUCACCAACCCUCAGCAU
ensembl:miRNA Mir134 microRNA mir-134